UUUUUUUAUUGCAACUGUCCUCCACGCACUGUCGGCCACCAACCAAAAUUGUUUUUUCUUAGUAGCCACCACCAGUGUCGUCCUCCACUAGUAGCCAUUAACAUCAACAACCACAAGUCGACAUCCAGUGCACAAAAAAACCACCUUAAAGCUUCGACUACCAACCUCUCCUCACAGCAAAGCAUCGACCGACAGCCUCUCUUCCCAGCAGCCACAUCCAUUGCUGUCAGGUCUUCCUCUAUCCAGUAACAGUCUUUUAUAAAAAAAAAAAAAAAAAACGACCAGCCUCCUCUCGCUUUCACAUGACCAAAGAACCUGAAUCAUUCAGCCCACAAACAGCAACCCAACACAAACCCAAACCUUUCUCUCACCAAAACCUCCCAAUGACAACCAUAAAAGCUUGUUCUUAGAAAAACAAUCUUCCAGUAAGCAGUAGCUAGCUAGGAGUGUAGCAGUCCCAGGUACAGGAAUAUGGUCGACUGGUGGUUUGUUGUUCUGACCCUCCAGGUACUGCCUGAUAUCGCGUCAGAUGGCAUGCAGCUUAUAUGUUCCAAACCAAAUACCGUUGAUUUGUUUGAAGAAGAUCCAUGUUCAUAGAAUUUGAUUUCAUAGAAACAAAACCAAAUCUCCAGUUUCUUCAAUUAUUUCUAUGGGCUAUAAACUGGUUAGUCACCUCUCCAUACUUAAUAAAUGUUUCUCUCAAAUUCUGAUAAUCCAACCAAGAUUAAUGAAAUCGCUCAAAAUAUAGGUGAAUCACAGGUUUUAAGGCUAUAGUUGGCAGCGGCAUGGUAGGCUGGGUUAGGUUUUGAUGGUGGUUAUACAUUGUUGGAUUGGUGGUGGGCUGGCUUUGUUCUUGAAUUGAUUCUUUUUUGUUUAGAAAAGGGGUUGGCAAACGAGGUGCUUGCAGGUAGUGAGCAUGGGGGUUGAGGUUAAGGUGUGUUUAGGGUUUUGGGAUGAUUUGGAUUAUGGGAGAAGGUGAGGAGUCAUGGUUUGUCGGAGAUGUGAGCGGUCAUGGUUUCGUUGAAGUUAUCUUUUAAAAUCAUGCAUGGCCGAGUCUUUUUUUUAUAUUAUUUUUUAAUAAAAAAGUCAUGGCUGCAUAUCUUAGUAUUGUUAAAAAAAAAAAAAAAAAACGUUUAUUUUUCUUUUCACAACAAAAAUCCAAAAAAUAUUUAAGCAUAUUUUAUUUUUAUAUAUAUAUAUAUAUUUUUUGGCAUUACAAUAAAAAAUAAAAGAAAUAUUUUGCAUGCAUGUUACGCAUGUAUUAGAAUUUGGUCAAAAUUAAAAGGCACAUUAAUAAAUUUAUCUAAAUUUCAAAAAAGAAAAGAAAAAGAAAAA